GUCCACGCUGUAAACGAUGAGAACUAGGUGUCGUGGGUGUUGACCCCCGCGGUGCCGCAGCUAACGCAUUAAGUUCUCCGCCUGGGAAGUACGGCCGCAAGGCUAAAACUCAAAGGAAUUGACGGGGGCCCCGCACAAGCGGUGGAGCAUGUGGUUUAAUUCGACGCAACGCGCAGAACCUUACCCAGACUUGACAUCUAUCAAACCCGGCCCAAAAGCUGGGGUGCCCGCAAGGGAAUGGUAAGACAGGUGCUGCAUGGCUGUCGU
rnacentral:rRNA from 1 species